AUACGUAGGUGGCAAGCGUUGUCCGGAUUUAUUGGGCGUAAAGCGCGCGCAGGCGGUCUCUUAAGUCUGAUGUGAAAUCUUGCGGCUCAACCGCAAGCGGUCAUUGGAAACUGGGAGACUUGAGUACAGAAGAGGAGAGUGGAAUUCCACGUGUAGCGGUGAAAUGCGUAGAGAUGUGGAGGAACACCAGUGGCGAAGGCGACUCUCUGGUCUGUAACUGACGCUGAGGCGCGAAAGCGUGGGGAGCAAACAGGAUUAGAUACCCUGGUAGUCCACGCCGUAAACGAUGAGUGCUAGGUGUUAGGGGUUUCGAUGCCCUUAGUGCCGAAGUAAACACAUUAAGCACUCCGCCUGGGGAGUACGGCCGCAAGGCUGAA
rnacentral:rRNA from 1 species